rnacentral:rRNA from 1 species
UGGGGAAUCUUGCACAAUGGAGGAAACUCUGAUGCAGCGACGCCGCGUGAGCGAUGAAGCCUUUCGGGGUGUAAAGCUCUUACGCCAGGGACGAUAAUGACGGUACCUGGAGAAGCAGCUGCGGCUAACUACGUGCCAGCAGCCGCGGUAAUACGUAGGCAGCAAGCGUUGUUCGGAAUUACUGGGCGUAAAGGGUGCGUAGGCGGUGCUCUAAGUUUGGUGUGAAAUCUCCCGGCUCAACUGGGAGGGUGCGCCGGAAACUGGGGUGCUGGAGUGUGGGAGAGGAAAGCGGAAUUCCUGGUGUAGCGGUGAAAUGCGUAGAGAUCAGGAGGAACACCUGCGGUGUAGACGGCUUUCUGGACCAUAACUGACGCUGAGGCACGAAAGCGUGGGUAGCAAACAGGAUUAGAUACCCGUGUAGUCC